rnacentral:rRNA from 1 species
AACGAACGCUGGCGGCAUGCCUAACACAUGCAAGUCGAACGAAGGCUUCGGCCUUAGUGGCGCACGGGGUGCGUAACGCGUGGGAAUCUGCCCUUGGGUUCGGAAGUAACUCAGAGAAAUUUGAGCUAAUACCGGAUGAUGACGUAAGUCCAAAGAUUUAUCGCCCAAGGAUGAGCCCGCGUAAGAUUAGCUAGUUGGUGGGGUAAAGGCCUACCAAGGCGACGAUCUUUAGCUGGUCUGAGAGGAUGAUCAGCCACACUGGGACUGAGACACGGCCCAGACUCCUACGGGAGGCAGCAGUGGGGAAUAUUGGACAAUGGGCGAAAGCCUGAUCCAGCAAUGCCGCGUGAGUGAUGAAGGCCUUAGGGUUGUAAAGCUCUUUUACCAGGGAUGACAAUGACAGUACCUGGAGAAU